AUUGAACGCUGGCGGCAUGCCUUUACACAUGCAAGUCGAACGGUAACGGGCCUUCGGGUGCCGACGAGUGGCGAACGGGUGAGUAAUGCAUCGGAACGUACCUUUCAGUGGGGGAUAACGUAGCGAAAGUUACGCUAAUACCGCAUAUUCUGUGAGCAGGAAAGCAGGGGAUCGCAAGACCUUGCGCUGAUUGAGCGGCCGAUAUCAGAUUAGCUAGUUGGUGAGGUAAAGGCUCACCAAGGCGACGAUCUGUAGCGGGUCUGAGAGGAUGAUCCGCCACACUGGAACUGAGACACGGUCCAGACUCCUACGGGAGGCAGCAGUGGGGAAUUUUGGACAAGUGGGGGCAACCCUGAUCCAGCCAUGCCGCGUGAGUGAAGAAGGCCUUCGGGUUGUAAACCUACUUUUGUCGGGAACGAAACGGUCUGUGAUAACACCAUGGCUAAUGACGGUACCUGAAGAAUAAGCGACCGCGUAACCUAACGUUCGCCGACGCGACGCCGGUACC
rnacentral:rRNA from 1 species